rnacentral:rRNA from 1 species
GACGAACGCUGGCGGCGUGCUUAACACCUGCAAGUCGAACGAUGAACUUGGAGCUUGCUCUGGGGGAUUAGUGGCGAACGGGUGAGUAACACGUGAGUAACCUGCCCUGGACUCUGGGAUAACUUCGAGAAAUCGGAGCUAAUACCGGAUAGGACCUUGCACCGCAUGGUGUGGGGUGGAAAGUUUUUCGGUUUGGGAUGGACUCGCGGCCUAUCAGCUUGUUGGUGAGGUAAUGGCUCACAAAGGCGUCGACGGGUAGCCGGCCUGAGAGAGGGACCGGCCACAAGGGGACUGAGACACGGCCCAGACGCCUACGGGAGGCAGAAGUGGGGAAUAUUGAAAAAUGGGCGCAAGCCUGAUGCAGCAACGCCGCGUGCGGGAUGACGGCCUUCGGGUUGUAAACCGCUUUUAGUAGGGAAGAAGCCUUCGGGUGACGGUACCUGCAGAAAAAGGACCGGCUAACUACGUGCCAGCAGCCGCCGUAACAC